rnacentral:lncRNA from 1 species
CUGGCAACAUGGGCUUUGUGUUGCCUACUUGUCUACUUGCCUGUGUGAUACGGAUGCGAGUGUUUUUACAUAAGCUCGGUGCUAAAGUAAGUAUUAUAACACGUCUUUUAACACAAAUUUCAAGGUAUUCUAUAGGAUUAGACGUAGAGGAGAGAAGAGAAGAGAGAGGAACCCCUCAUACAAGAGGCAACCUCUAUGUAAUCUCUAAGAGAUAAAAAUUUGACUAAUUAAUAGUUAAAAUUAGUACACUACAGUCGGUAUAGAGGUGUCAUGUUGUAUUGUAUACAUCAUCUAUUAAUUAAUAAAUUAUUUAUAUAGACAAAAUAUCCACUUCUAUUAUAAAACUUGCUUUAAGUCUAACUACCUGAACAAGAUCCUUUAUACAAUUAUACAUAGCGACACUAUCUAGGGCGAUGUUGUUUUACAGUUUUUUUUCGGUUGUUGCACGACUGCUUCAUAUAAAAGAAAAGGCUUUCAAACAAAAGUUCAUCUCAUAGUUUUUUUUCAGCUUUAUAUUUGUUAAUUUCAUCAUUUACAUCGCUAUCACAAAUCAUAGAAUAUUUCGUAUUCAUCCAUCAAAAAAUAAAAACGCACCCUAGUCACCGAACAUUCCUAGAUUAUGCUCCAGUUUACGAACUGUGUCACAUUGGCCAAUUGAGCCAUGAUGUAUACAUGUCUAUAGCGGACAUAUAAGCAACAGACACCUGCAGAGCAUUGAGCUCUACUGGGCAGUCAUUUGUACUAAUAGAGUGCUAGAUAAGGGUGUAAGUGGUCUGAUCCGCCGACUACUUAUAAGCUAAUUAAAUGGUAGGCCACUUGUAUCCCUAGUAGUGCUAGACCAACUGGACCAAAGAUUGAUCAUAUAGGAUAAUGGAAUUUCGGUCCUUGGGGCUCGACUUUAACACGUUUGUUCCCAUAGGACUCCAUGACUGCACAAUAAAAUUUUCCUCGAAGCAAUGUUUUAUCCUCUACAAAAAGUGUUAAUACUUGUCGCAUAUUUUACCCCUUUGUAGUACUCGCUCAGUUCCAAAAUAUAAUUGUAUUUGUAGUUCAUAAAAUAUAGCUAGCUUAAAGAAAUAAAAACAAUAAGCUACCAUCCUGUUGACAUUCUAUCUAAAUCUCAUAUAUGUCGGACAGUAAAAACAUGUUACUACAAUGUAUGAGAUGGUAUGCACCACAGCUACACCAGACACGUUUAUGCUUGGUUACUUACAGAAAUGAAUGAGGUGGUGGUAUGUACAAUCCAACGAGCACCAGUCCAGAACUUAAGCAACAGGCAAGACUUCAGGCCCAUCGUAGCAGUCAUUUUCCAGGUCUCCAGGAAGAUCGGCAGCCAAUGGUUUCAACUAAAGAGCAGAAGUUUGGCUAGCUGUAUCUCUGUAUGUCAAAUUAGCUGACAUAUA